rnacentral:rRNA from 1 species
AUUGAACGCUAGCGGCAUGCUUUACACAUGCAAGUCGAACGAGUGGCGGACGGGUGAGUAAUAUAUCGGAACCUGCCCGGUAGAGGGGGAUAACUACUCGAAAGAGUAGCUAAUACCGCAUACUAUUAGAGCGGCCGAGAUGGGAUUAGCUAGUUGGUGGGGUAACGGCUCACCAAGGCAACGAUCCCUAGCUGGUCUGAGAGGAUGACCAGCCACACGGGAACUGAGACACGGCCCAGACUCCUACGGGAGGCAGCAGUGGGGAAUAUUGGACAAUGGGCGAAAGCCUGAUGCAGCCAUGCCGCGUGUAUGAUGAAGGCCUUCGGGUUGUAAAGCACUUUUAGCGGGGAAGCGUUAUUUGCAGAAUAAGCACCGGCUAACUCCGUGCCAGCCGCCGCGGUAAUAC